GAGACUGCCGGGGUCAACUCGGAGGAAGGUGGGGACGACGUCAAGUCAUCAUGCCCCUUAUGUCCAGGGCUUCACACAUGCUACAAUGGCCGGUACAGAGGGCUGCGAUMCCGWGAGGUGGAGCGAAUCCCUUAAAGCCGGUCUCAGUUCGGAUCGGGGUCUGCAACUCGACCCCGUGAAGUCGGAGUCGCUAGUAAUCGCAGAUCAGCAACGCUGCGGUGAAUACGUUCCCGGGCCUU
rnacentral:rRNA from 1 species